CUCUGGCUGGCAGCGGAUUAGCACACUGAAUCCCAUCCCUGAGAUGUCCUGGCACACAUCCUGGGCCCCUCUGUGAAGUGUUUGCCAUGGCCUCGAGCCCCUCAGGUUGAGUGCACUUGUCUGCAAAGGGCUGUGUUGUACAGCAACAUGGGACCCACGAAGGAAGCCUUAUGAUUCAUUUUUCAUCUCAUCAUUACUCGCCUUGCCUGUAUGCCAAGGCUGGGAAGCAAUGGGCCAGAGGUUUGUGCUCUGAGCAAUUCUGAAUCAUGUGGAGAAUAUGAAGGAAAAUGAGAAGUUUAAAAAUACUCCAUAGGAAAGAAAUGCCUAAUGAAUGCUUUAUGGCUGAGAAAUGAUGGAGGAAGCGAGUGAGACUGAAGAGAUGAAGAAACUGAGGCACACAGAGAGAGACCCGGACAUGGCAUUCCCAGCAGUACUCAGGCACAAAGGCUUCUGCUCUAGAACUCCCUUCUUCUUACUCCAGAAGUGUUGGAUGAUGCUAUGGGAAACAGAUGAGUUUGUCCAGGGAACCAUGUGGAGUAUGAACAGAAGGAAGGCAAGAAAGGAACUCGUCAAACGGAUCGAAGAUAAGAGAUGGAUGGGCCCGGGACAUCUUCCCCAGUGGCUCUUGUCCACGGGACACCUGGCUUGUACCCACAGAAAGUUGGCUUCCAGCCAUGCUUGAGUGAGAACAGUGAGGGCCCUUGCCUUCCUACAACAGGCUGUCUCUGACAGAAGAAUACAGUUCAUCAAAAGUGUCUGCAGGUUGUCAAACUCAGAGAGGUUUGGGGACCCUCUGAGGCUGUCGUGGUCAACAAGAAGAUUUUCUGUCGGGCUUUUCCAUCACUCACCCUGAGGAAAUAAUCACUCACUACAUUCUGCAUGUUCUCAUGAUAGAGUUCUCCAUUUGAGAGAAAAGAGCCAUUUUAUCAAAGGACAAUAUAGCCCUUCUCUGGGUCCGCGUAGCUUCCAUUAUCAGACCAUAAUAAAUCAUAUUUAUGUUCCCAGUUAAUAAGACUGAUUACAACACAGGUUCCAGACGUGGGAAAAGCAAAGCAGGUGAAAAGAUGUUUUAAUGAAAAUAUGAUAAGAAAACAGCUUCUUGUGAACAUUCUGUGCUAUUAUUUGUAAUGAUUACAGACAAUUUUUGAUGCAUCUUGUUUAGCAAUGGUUUAAGCUGCAUAAAUUGGCUCACUGGUAGAUAAGUAAAAAUGAUAAGAAAAAAUCAUGAAAUCUUCUUAUGUUGUCCAGAAUCAUUAUGUACAUAACAAGGGCAAAAUGGGUUUAAUGUAUAUGCUGGGGAUGGAGGGGAAACAGGCUUCUCAGAAAAGCAUGGCUUGGGUAUUAUUUGAAAUGAUUUAGAAAUUUUCUCCUCAUCUUGCUUAUUAAAGAUGUGUUCUCCCUGAAAUUUGGGGGUG